rfam:Gossypium hirsutum cultivar TM-1 chromosome 16, whole genome shotgun sequence
AUACUUACCUGGACGGGGUCAAUGAGUGAUCAGGAAGACUCAUGGCCUAGAGCAGUGACCUCCAUUGCACUUGGGAGGGGUGCUGCUUUAAGGUCUCCCCAAGAGGGAGAGCCUACGUCAUAAUUUGUGGCAGUGGGGGCUUGCGUUCGCGCAGCCUCUAU